GGUUUCACGAGCGGGCUCGGACGCUGUUGACAAAAGCAAAGUCUCCCAAGUAAAGCGGCCGCGGGGGUCGGGAGCGCCCGGAAGCCCAGCAGGACACGUUUCCACCGCGGGGAGGGGGUGUACGAAUCCGUCGCGGAGACUCACGCCUCGACCCACUCUCCCCCAGGACAGCCGGGCGGGGACAGGCUCGGCCGGCGGAGGCGGUGUUGGAACUUCUCUGCUGGACUCCUAGACUUCCACAAAUCUCUCUCAUCUCUGUGUGGUUGCCUAACACAGUGUUCUCCAGGGACUUUCAGAGCAUAGCCAAGAGGGACUGGACCUGGUUUAUGAGCCACUGCAGGGUCCACAGCCAGGGCUGAGGUUGAAAUCGUCUAGCUGAAUCAGAAUGGUGCUGCCUGCCUGCAGAUUUCUCAUGUGGAUGACCAUUGUUUUCCAGAGAGAUCCUGGAUCAACACGCACAUAGAUGUUUGAGACCCACUGCCCCUAGUCCACAGAGCAGUCUGUAACUUCUUGAUCUGCAAAUCCACUUCAAAUAUUUAGAGAACACCUACUACGUGGAAACAAAAAGGUGAACAAAAGGUCUCCGUUGUGUAACUAAUUAUGCAGAACACCUCACCAAUAAUGUCUUACUUGAAUUCAUUAUUCUUUCUAGUUUUUAAUUUUUUCUUGAAGUAUAGUUGACUUACAGUGUUGUGUUACUUUCAGGUGUACAGGAAAGGGAUUCAGUUAUACAUAAAUAUAUGUAUGUAUUCUUUUCAGAUUCU